rnacentral:rRNA from 1 species
ACGAACGCUGGCGGCGUGCUUCACACCUGCCAGUCGAACGGAAAGGCCCUGCUUUUGUGGGGUGCUCGAGUGGCGAACGGGUGAGUAACACGUGAGUAACCUGCCCUUGACUUUGGGAUAACUUCAGGAAACUGGGGCUAAUACUGGAUAGGAGCUCCUGCUGCAUGGUGGGGGUUGGAAAGUUUCGGCGGUUGGGGAUGGACUCGCGGCUUAUCAGCUUGUUGGUGGGGUAGUGGCUUACCAAGGCUUUGACGGGUAGCCGGCCUGAGAGGGUGACCGGCCACAUUGGGACUGAGAUACGGCCCAGACUCCUACGGGAGGCAGCAGUGGGGAAUAUUGCACAAUGGGCGGAAGCCUGAUGCAGCAACGCCGCGUGCGGGAUGACGGCCUUCGGGUUGUAAACCGCUUUCGCCUGUGACGAAGCGUGAGUGACGGUAAUGGGUAAAGAAGCACCGGCUAACUACGUG